rnacentral:rRNA from 1 species
UACAGAGGUGCCGAGCGUUAGGCGGAAUCACUGGGCUUAAAGCGUGUGUAGGCGGAUGCCUAAGUACCUUGUGAAAUCCCACGGCUUAACCGUGGAACUGCUCGGUAUACUGGGUGUCUUGAGCCACUUAGGGGUUACCGGAACAAAUGGUGGAGCGGUGAAAUGCGUAGAUAUCAUUUGGAACGCCAAUGGUGAAAACAGGUAACUGGGAGUGAUGCUGACGCUGGAGACACGAAAGCCAGGGGAGCGAACGGG